UCCGGGGGUUGGGGCUGAGGCAAAAUUGUUGAAACUUUAAUGAUUUUUUUCCCCAGUGCAUUUUUUUAUUCUGAUAGGGGACUUUACAGAGCACAAAGGUACUGGAAAGGCAUUCAGCGCGAUGUACAUAAAGAUGAUAUGCCCUUCAGUGAGGAAUAGCGAUUACAGCUGCAGGAGAAAACCCGGCGGUGUCUUGGCAAUGGGUACAGUUUAAAUAGAUGCUGCUGGUGAAAUGUUCCCACAUCAUUUUCUUCUGAUCACUUGGCUCGUGACAAGUGUCUCUGCAGAUACCCCAGUCACCCCAGUCUCGGGGAGAUUUGGGGAGUGUGUUGUCUUGCCCUGCGAUGGAACAGCAGCUGUUGGAAACUCCGGGGAUCAGAUCGAUAUUCUGUGGAGACACUCGUUAGGAGACGUGUUGGUUUUCAGAAGCCAGAAGAAAGUUACAACCAACAUGCCAGUAGAUUGUGGGAAGAAACCGGAGCACCUGGAGGAAACCCACAUGAACAGGUGGAAGAACAUGGAAACUCCACACAGACAGCACCCCCAGAUCCAGAAUUGAACUCCAUGUAGCUGUUUAAAUCAUGUUUGCAAAUCAGUACUUGAGUGAUUUUCCACAAAUGUAGUGAUUCUACUGCGUUUUUUCAAUUGACUAAUUUAUAUGAAUUGGUGACAAUGCAAGGUUGCAGGAUAGUUACGUGUAUAGACCAUAAGUGUAUAGCCACCCUGGCUAUACACUUAUAUAUAUAUAAGUAUAUCCGUAUUAAGAAUUGAAUCUACAGAAACGCCCACUGCGAUGUCACUCAAGCGAGACUUCAGAGCCACAGAGCUGGGUUGGUGAGCAGACACGGAUGACCGUGGCCAAAACACCAUGCAGCGGGAGGAAACUGGUCAACUUCUAACGGAGAUGGAGGCGCUCUCUGGAUAGCGCGGCGUGGGGAGGUCACUCGGGAGCGCUGGGGACGAGGUCUGUCCGACUCGGGGACACGGUGACCCUGCACUGCGACAUCUCGCUCCGGUACGAAGCCAUGUGGCUCAUCCAACGGCCCGACCAGACUCUGUCUCUGGGUGUUAUAGCCAGUAAAAACAAGGUGGGCCCCGAAACUCAUAUAUCCGUCUAUAGCGGCGACACCGACCCACGGUUCGGCGCCGAGCUGAACUCGACCACCGGCUCCAUCAGUCUGAGGAUCCGGAACGUCACCCAGUCGGACCUGGGGCUGUACUAUUGUGCCGAGAGACACCUGGAAAGCCUUAACAUUGGACGGGGAAUCAGGCUCGUCCAUGAGGGUGAGAGGGGUGGCUUUUUCGAGUUUUAAAAUACAGAUUCAUUUUUUUUUUCAAAUCAAACUACGACCAUACAAAGCCUAUCAAGUCAACAGUUUGUAUCGAAAACACUUAUAACUCGCCGUGAGUCAUACUUUAUUUUUGGAGAACACAUAUUAGAAUAAACAAGCAAAUAAGACAGCACUUGAGCUGCAAACCUGAAGUGUGGUUUUCACAGAGCUGGUCACGUAUCGGUGCUACUAAAGUACAAAAUCAGUCUAAACACCGUUAAGUUGCCAAGAUGCAAACAAAAAAAGAUGACAUAAAGCUUAGUCUGGGUUGCAGGAUGGCACAGUGGUCAGUACUCGGUACUCAGUACUGCUGCCUUGUAGAACUGGGGCUCUGGGUUCAAUUCUGGACAUGGGCUGCAGUCUGUGUUGAGUUUGCAUGUUCUGUUUGUGUGGGUUUCUUUUGGAUGCUCUGGGUUAAUGCUGGGGGGUUAAUGAGCC